rnacentral:rRNA from 1 species
UGAGAGCGGCGGACGGGUGAGUAAUACCUAGGAAUCUGCCUAGGUAGUGGGGGAUAACGUUCGGAAACGGACGCUAAUACCGCAUACGUCCUACGGGAGAAAGCAGGGGACCUUCGGGCCUUGCGCUAUCAGAUGAGCCUAGGUCGGAUUAGCUAGUUGGUGAGGUAAUGGCUCACCAAGGCUACGAUCCGUAACUGGUCUGAGAGGAUGAUCAGUCACACUGGAACUGAGACACGGUCCAGACUCCUACGGGAGGCAGCAGUGGGGAAUAUUGGACAAUGGGCGAAAGCCUGAUCCAGCCAUGCCGCGUGUGUGAAGAAGGUCUUCGGAUUGUAAAGCACUUUAAGUUGGGAGGAAGGGCAUUAACCUAAUACGUUAGUGUUUUGACGUUACCGACAGAAUAAGCACCGGCUAACUCUGUGCCAG